rnacentral:rRNA from 1 species
UACGUAGGGUCCAAGCGUUGUCCGGAUUUAUUGGGCGUAAAGAGCUCGUAGGCGGUUCCGUAAGUCGGAUGUGAAAACUCAGGGCUCAACCCGGAGACGCCAUCUGAUACUGCGGUGACUGGAGUCUGGUAGGGGAUCACGGAAUACCUGGUGUAGCGGUGAAAUCGCAGAUAUCAGGUGGAACACCGAUGGCGAAGGCAGUGAUCUGGGCCAGUACUGACGCUGAGAGCGAAAGCGUGGGGAGCAAACAGG